GGGUCGGUACCGAAGUGGUCAAACGGGGCAGACUGUAAAUCUGCUGGCUCCGCCUUCGUAGGUUCGAAUCCUACCCGGCCCA
rnacentral:tRNA from 1 species